CUACAACAAGUUCGAGCCCGUUAAUGGGUGAGAGCGUGCCUUUUGUAGAAUGAACCGGCGAGUUACGAUCUGAUGCAAGGUUAAGCAGAAAAUGUGGAGCCGUAGCGAAAGCGAGUCUGAAUAGGGCGCUAUAGUUAGUAGUGGUAGACGCGAAACCGUGUGAUCUACCCAUGAUCAGGUUGAAGCUUCGUUAAACCGAAGUGGAGGACCGAACCAAUAUACGUUGAAAAGUGUUUGGAUGAAUUGUGGGUAGGGGUGAAAGGCCAAUCAAACUCGG
rnacentral:rRNA from 1 species